UAGAAUGUGAUGGAAUUGGUAGACAAAGUGGCUGUGAAAGUUGCGAGUGGGUAUCACUGUAUGGGUUCGAAUCCCAUCAUUCUAA
rnacentral:tRNA from 1 species